GCCUGGGUGGCUCAGUUGGUUGAGCCUCUGACUCUUGGUUUCGGCUCGGGUCAUGAUCUCACAGUUUGUGGGUUCGAGCCCCGCAUCGGGCU
rnacentral:tRNA from 1 species